rnacentral:rRNA from 1 species
UUAAGCUAAGAAGAGCGUAGGGAGAAUGCCUUGGCAUUAGGAGCCGACGAAGGACGUGAUAAGCUGCGAUAAGCUGCGGGGAUCAGCAAGUAUGAAUUGAUCCGCAGAUUUCCGAAUGGAGCAAUCCGUAUGUGUAUGCACAUACAUCAUAUACUGAAUCAAAUAGGUAUAUGAGGGGAACCGCCUGAACUGAAACAUCUAAGUAGGGCGAGGAAGAGAAAUCAACCGAGAUUCUGUGAGUAGUGGCGAGCGAAAGCGGAAGAGGCUAAACCAUAGGUAGCAAUACUUAUGGGGUUUCGGACAGCAUUUAGUAUUGAUAAUUUCUAGUUGAAACGUGUGGGAAAACGUACCGAAGAGUGUGAGAGUCACGUAAGCGAAAGAGAAAGUCAGCGAGCUGUAUCCAAAGUACCGCGGGACACGUGAAACCCCGUGGGAAGAUGGGGGGACCAUCCUCCAAGCCUAAAUACUACCUAAUGACCGAUAGCGAAUAGUACUGUGAAGGAACGGUGAAAAGAACCCCGGGAGGGGAGUGAAAAAGAACCUGAAACCCUAUGCUUACAAGCACCGAGAGCACGUCAAAGUGUGAUCGGGUACCUUUUGUAGAAUGGUCCGGCGAGUUAUUGUAUGCGGCAAGGUUAAGUGCUUAAGGCACGGAGCCGAAGCGAGAGCAAGUCUGAACAGGGCGAAAAAGUCGUAUGCAAUAGACCCGAAACCGAGUGACCUAUCCAUGUCCAGGCUGAAGUGGAGGUAAAACUCCAUGGAGGGCCGAACACACGUCCGUUGAAAAGGCCGGUGAUGAGGUGUGGAUAGCGGAGAAAUUCCAAUCGAACUCGGAUAUAGCUGGUUCUCUCCGAAAUAGCUUUAGGGCUAGCCUCGUGAAAGAUUACUGGAGGUAAAGCACUGAAUGGGCUAGGGGUCGAAAGAUUACUGAACCCUAUCAAACUAAGAAUGCCAGAUAAUUGAUUCACGGGAGUCAGACAAUGUGAGAUAAGUCUCAUUGUCAAAAGGGAAACAGCCCAGACCCACAGCUAAGGUCCCUAAACAUUGUUAAGUGGAAAAGGAUGUGGGGUUGCAUAAACAACCAGGAUGUUGGCUUAGAAGCAGCCACUCAUUAAAAGAGUGCGUAAUAGCUCACUGGUCGAGUGACCCUGCGCCGAAAAUUCAACGGGGCUAAACAAUGUACCGAAGCUUGGGAUUCUAAAGUAAUUUAGAGUGGUAGGAGAGCGUCGAAUAAGGGGUGAAGUCAGAGCGGAAGCGCUGGUGGACUUUAUUCGAGUGAGAAUGCCGGAAUGAGUAGCGAGAAUUAUGUGAGAAUCAUAAUGGCCGAAAAUCUAAGGUUUCCUGAGGAAGGUUCGUCCGCUCAGGGUAAGCCGGGGGCUAAGGCGAGGCGGAGACGCGUAGCCGAUGCACAUACGGUUGAAAUUCCGUAGCCACCGAAAGAUUUAAGUACAGGGACGCUUUAGAAGUGAUGUAGCCGGGCGAUGGUUGACCCGGUCGUAAGGGAUCGAAAAUGAGUAGAGAAGUCAUCAUGGAAAGAGACAAGAAAAGCUGUAUGGAUAUCUUAGGUGCCCGUACCGCAAACCGACACAGGUAGAUAGGAAGAAGAUUCUAAGGCCAACGGGAGAAGGGUUGUUAAGGAACUCGGCAAGUUGACCCCGUAACUUAGGGAUAAGGGGUGCUCAAGUGAUUGAGCCGCAGAGAAUAGGCCCAGGCGACUGUUUAGCAAAAACACAGGUCUCUGCUAAAUCGAAAGAUGACGUAUAGGGGCUGACACCUGCCCGGUGCCGGAAGGUUAAGAGGAGAUGUGAGAGCAUUGAAUUGAAGCCCCGGUAAACGGCGGCCGUAACUAUAACGGUCCUAAGGUAGCGAAAUUCCUUGUCAGGUAAGUUCUGACCCGC